rnacentral:tRNA from 1 species
AAAAAUUUAGUUAAACCCCCAUAACAUUAGCUUGUCAAGCUAAAAUUAUUUUAGAAAUAAUUUUUA